AUUUCAUCGACAAUGGGAAGCUCAGAAAUCAGGUAUAUUUUUGGAAGGAUGCCUAAUUGGUUCAACAUGGACCUCUUUGAUUCAACCCUUUCCGCUAUGUCCCAUAAAUCCCUAUUCAUCCGUCACUCAAAUCAGCUGAACUCACCAUCUACUUUCAGAUAAUUGAAAUAGCCUUUCAUUUGGUUCUGUUAGUGAUACUUUUUUUCUGUAGAAUGAAGGCGUUCACUGAAAAUGCCCCGGUUUCACUUCCAAUCACCGAGGAAAAUCAGAAAUCACAGAGGCAAGUUGGUAGUGACCAUGUUGUAUGACUCUUUUAUCUCAAUUAAAGGACGCUCUGAAAGAAGUUGCGGAAUUGCAGCAAAUGCAAUCUCUCCAUUGAAGAAAAUAAUUUGGCUUCAUGUUUCCAAAACUCCCCGUCACUCAUCUUUUCAAGCUGUAAUCCUAACUGCCAUAUAGGUGCAUGGAGAUGCUUGGAAAAAGGGUUUGAAAGUAAUGGAUGUAGCAGCACCAUGACAGCUUAAUAAUGCCUUAAUCUUGCUCGGUCUCCUUCUUCGGGGUUUUGAAGCUUGGAUUACUUCGAGAAAUUGGAGCAUAUCGGUGAAGGCACAAAUGGGUUUCUGGAGAACCGAAAUUGCUACGGAGGAAUUAAGACAGAGUUGGGGAAACACAAGGUCCACCUUCUCAAGUACCUCCUGAAUAUACUUUAUGUACUCUUUGUGAAGAACAACACUAUAUUUCAGGUUAAUAUAUAUAUGUUUUGCAUAAAUAAAUUUACAUGUUUUAAACAUUGGUUUGAUUAAGCGGUAUAAGUAUAUAUGUAUUUGUUGUUACAAUCAAGAUUAUGGACCUUCGUAUUGCUCUUUCCUUAGCCUAUACUCUGAAAGCUUACGAGCAACUGCCGACAACUUUCUGAAUUUCUCCUCAGCUCUUCGAAAGUACCCAGCUUGGCCCUGUCUACUUUUUUUUUGGCAACAUUCUUCCUAAACUUUCUUUACGUGGUAUCAAGCUUUCUACAUACUCAUAAUUUGAUCCUUCAGUUUCCCUCAUUUGCAUUUUUAACUCUUAACCAUUUAAAUUUUAGUGCAUCUUGAGGUCUUGGUGAAGUUGUUUGGGUGCUAUGACUUAAUGAGGUAAUAUUAAUAUUUUGUAAGGCUUUAGAAUUUUUUUUUUUUUUCCUUUUAUCAUACUACCAUAUUUACUCUAUGGUGUAUCAUUGGUUUGAAUUGGAAGCACAGUUUAUACAUAGUAUGUAUCUAUCUCAUGGUUUAGACAUAUUUGUGCUUUACAUUUCAAUAUUAUACUUAUGUCAUUAGUGUGGUGUUUGUCCAUUUCUACUACUGAAAGGACUAGACUCCAGAAUCCAUGUUCGUCCAUUUCUUUGGUUUGCUUAAAACAGGUUGUUAAGCUUGCACAACCAUGAUUAUUUAGUGUUUUACUACAUGAACGGACAUCUAUAGUCCAAACAUAUAAAGGAAGGUCAAGAUGAAGCCAUUAACACUCUCUUCUAUAGUUUUUCACUUUGGAUGGAGAUAUAUAAUUUAGACAUAUAAAGAACGGUGUAGAUUGAUCCCAGCAUCUUUCACACUCCUCUCACACUCGCCUUAAUCUCUUUCGAAUUCCACGGAUUACUUCGCAUUAAACCUCAGAACCGUUUCUCCUAGCAGAAAAAAGUCUUACCUCAUAACUUUAGCUACCAUCAAUGGGAGGCGUUACUCUUCUCUGAAAAUAUUUCGAAAGGUAAGUUAUCAUGUUUCUCUUGAUCAGGGACUAUGGUUUCGACAGAGAAACUAAAACAAUAUAGGGGUUUCUAUAUUGUGUUUUGUGAUUUGUAACCUAAUUUAGAUUUUUGUCUUGCUUCCAUAAGCUCCGAUAGAGUGAUUCUUAUUAUCUACUUUGGCAUCUUUUUCUCUUUAUUUUUCUUUAACAUAAUUAGAUUCUUGGUAAGUCUUUUUUUUUCCCUAAUUCAGCUUCCUUGAUGUUAUUUUUUUUUCGUAGUUUUUGUACUCAGUAGGUUUUUGGUUGGCUUAAUUUUUUUAUUGUUUUUAAAUAAUGUACUGAAGGUUUCUGGAGAACCGAAAUUGCUACGGAGGAAUUAAGACAGAGUUGGGGAAACACAAGGUCCACCUUCUCAAGUACCUCCUGAAUAUACUUUAUGUACUCUUUGUGAAGAACAACACUAUAUUUCAGGUUAAUAUAUAUAUGUUUUGCAUAAAUAAAUUUACAUGUUUUAAACAUUGGUUUGAUUAAGCGGUAUAAGUAUAUAUGUAUUUGUUGUUACAAUCAAGAUUAUGGACCUUCAUAUUGCUCUUUCCUUAGCCUAUACUCUGAAAGCUUACGAGCAACUGCCGACAACUUUCUGAAUUUCUCCUCAGCUCUUCGAAAGUACCCACCUUGGCCCUGUCUACUUUUUUUUUUUGCAACAUUCUUCCUAAACUUCCUUUACGUGGUAUCAAGCUUUCUACAUACUCAUAAUUUGAUCCUUCAGUUUCCCUCAUUUGCAUUUUUAACUCCUAACCAUUUAAAUUUUAGUGCAUCUUGAGGUCUUGGUGAAGUUGUUUGGGUGCUAUGACUUAAUGAGGUAAUAUUUUGUAAGGCUUUAGAUUUUUUUUUUUCCUUUUAUCAUACUACCAUAUUUACUCUAUGGUGUAUCAUUGGUUUGAAUUGGAAGCACAGUUUAUACAUAGUAUGUAUCUAUCUCAUGGUUUAGACAUAUUUGUGCUUUACAUUUCAAUAUUCUACUUAUGUCACUAGUGUGGUGUUUGUCCAUUUCUACUACUGAAAGGACUAGACUCCAGAAUCCAUGUUCGUCCAUUUCUUUGGUUUGCUUAAAACAGGUUGUUCAGCUUGCACAACCAUGAUUAUUUAGUGUUGUUAAAUGACUAAAUCAUAGGUAACUUGAACUCUCAAUAAAGAACUCUGGAUAGUUAAAGAGUCAUCGAUACAUGGACACAUGGCUUUUCUAAUAUCAAAUUUUCCUCCCCAAAUUUAUGCUACCAAGCAUCAUGCCCUGACCAUGAUCCUUAAUAAGGUUGGAUAGGCUAUCCAAAUACUUUAUAUAGUCUGUUUUUUUUUGUUCAUUGUUGGUGGAAUUUUAUUUUGUUUUCUACUCUCAUAAUGGUUGUUGUCAUUGAAGUUUGUUAGCAGAACUUUGUUUCAUCAUCAAGAAACAUGAAUUUAUAUAGAGAGUGGGACUUUAAGAAUUAGUAACCUUAGGAAAAGAGAAUGGAAAAGGAUAACCAAAUGGUUACAUGACCUGGGUUCUUUAAAGGUCGUUAGGUUCUUAUCUUUUCAAUUGUAGCUAACCAGUUAGUGAACGACUUUAAGAGAAAAAAUGCAUCUAAAGCUAUUAAUUGUAGCUAACCAGUUAGUGUAUAUCAUUUUAAUCUUUAUCAACAGCUCAACCACUUCAUUGGCUCCACUGACCUGCAUUUUGGAUCUCAAAUGACUUAAGUGGUUCGCUACAAGUUUUAACCCCCAAGCUUACAAUCAGAAUUUGUAUUUGAUCAUUUUAUCCUUUCCUAUUACGAGCACGGUCAUGUUUUUUUACUAUGAGGUUUGGGUUAUGAUGAAUUAGUGAAAUUGGAUCUAUAGUAGUAUACCAUUGAAAUCAAAAAUUGGUGUAUUCCUCAACAAUGACGUCAGAGCAGUGAAAGCAUCCAAGGGAGGCAGGUUAUACUUUCUUUCUUGCUUGAAAGGAAGUAAACUGACCCUACAAUGAGCUGGAUCACCAUAUCCGGACCAUGCCUUGAUAAGUCGGGUAUUUUUCUUGCCUUUCAAAUUUCACUUUAGACGUACAGCAAUAUCAAAUAUUUAGAUAUCACUACUAACAUUUUUGAACAUGGGUGUCUGGAGGGUUAACAAGAAGUCAAUAGACAAUUGCAAUGUUACAGGUAAUGAAAACCACCGGUUCCAAGUGUACGUAUGCCUUUCAGAGUUUCAAUGGCAAGGGGAAAAGUACCGGACAAGCUUAUACAAAGAAAAUCUGGUUUCUGAGUAUUCACAAAAAUUUUGUAGUCUAUACUCUUGAAGUAGUUGAUUAAAAUACCAAAGAGAAGCGACAUAAAUUUGCAUUAGGUGAAGUAGAUACAAUAAAUUAAAUUUACAAAAAUCAGUUCUUUUGUGUAACUCUCUUUACAUAUUAGGAGGGGAUCAUACCAUUGAACAACUUCGAAUGAACAUCGCCAUUUAUGUUUACCACGACUGUUACAUAUUAUCGGUGAACAAGCUUUUAGCAUGUCAUGUUAUGUAACAGUCCAAAAUCCGUGCUGUUACGGGAGAAUUUUGUCCAAAAUCAUAGCCCAAUGAGACCAGAAAUUCUAUGGGAGAAUUUUGGACUGGAUAUGUGCAAUGAUCUCGCACACAGGCUUACAACGCGGUAUGGAAUAAAAAUUCCAAAGGAAGAACAAAUUCUGGAUUAUGGGUUGUAUCUUCUGGAGAAAGUACUACAACAGGAUGGAAAAGAGCUAAAAAAAAGGGACUUCAAUUCAAUGCGACGACCGACGGGUAACUGGAAAAGAGCUAAAAAGGGACUUCAAUUCAAUGCGACGACCGACGGGUAACUGGAGCGAAUAAGCGAAAAACAAAUGUCCGCCUAGGCGGUAGUCGGAUUUAACAAGGGCGGAGGCUAAAAGGAACGGUUUAAUGGUCAAGCUUCCAUAUGAUAAAUUCAUUGAGAAAAGCUAAAAUAUUUUGUUUAAUAGUUA